rnacentral:ncRNA from 2 species
UAAAACACAUAGAUUGGGAGCAGUAAAAGAAAGUGAUCAGAACAGAGAGCUGCGGGGUGGUGCGACGCAGCCUGAUUCUUCUUUGAACUCGCCCGGGAGUGGUAAGACGGAACGGAAUAGAUUGAAUAUUCCCUAUGUUUUAACGGCUAACCUUCGUUACAGGUCAAAAGCAGGAUUCUUCAUGAAGAAUCAACAAGAGUGGUACCGCGGUCAGCCGAAGGCUCGUCGUCUCUUUA